GAGGGUAUAGCUCAGCGGUAAAAGUGCAUGCCUAGCAUGCACAAGGUCCUGGGUUCAAUCCCCAGUACCUCCG
rfam:Camelus ferus unplaced genomic scaffold scaffold1781, whole genome shotgun sequence.